UAACAAAACAAAGGGCUGGUCCUUCAAACUUAGGUUCUCCACUGAAAGUAGUUAGUGAGCCUGUGAAAGAGUUCAUACCUCAGUUUUACUUCAAAAAUGGUCGUCCGCCUCCAAAUGAUCUAAAAGAACAAUGCAUGUUUCGAAUCAGUCAAUUCUUCUAUGGACAUCCAGAUGGGUUACAGCUGCUUGAAUUCAAACUAGUGAC